CAGCCGCCACGGUAAUACGAAGGGUGCAAGCGUUAAUCGGAAUUACUGGGCGUAAAGCGCACGCAGGCGGUCUGACAAGUCAGAUGUGAAAUCCCCGGGCUUAACCUGGGAUCUGCAUUUGAAACUGUCAGGCUGGAGUCUUGUAGAGGGGGGUAGAAUUCCAGGUGUAGCGGUGAAAUGCGUAGAGAUCUGGAGGAAUACCGGUGGCGAAGGCGGCCCCCUGGACAAAGACUGACGCUCAGGUGCGAAAGCGUGGGGAGCAAACAGGAUUAGAUACCCCGGUAGUCCCUGUCUCUUAUAC
rnacentral:rRNA from 1 species